GCUGGAACAGGAGAGGGCACGAAGGCAGUGGUCAGAGAAGGAAGAAUCGAUGCCUAGAAUGGAGAUUUUAGAGCUGGUGACAGGGCCAGGGUGAGUUCACAGGAGCGGCUGAGAUGAGGUGAAGGAAAAGGGCUCCAGAGUGUUGCGGGACAUUCCUUGUAGCUGCUGAAGCCGCCGAGGAGGAUGAGACGAGAUGUACUGCUCAUGGGCGGGUGCAGAAGACUGAGCUAGGCACGGAAGUUUGAGUUGGAGGCCGGUAGAUGAGGGCCAUGUGGAGGAAGGGAGCGACAGGGGCAGCCAGUAGCACCAGGGGAGCCAGGAUUUUGCAAGAGAGAGGGAAAGGGACAUGGGGGUGCCUGUCCCUGGGGGAGGGUUGGGUGCCCUGGGAGAGCCUGCCCUCCGGCCUCCUGUGUUCCUGUGUGAAAUGCUGGAGGCUGGGGGCCCGGAGGAGCUCUGGGCUUAGGAAGAUCUGAGGACUUUGACCAAAUUAUCAACUUCUCUGAGCCCGUUUCCUCCUCUGUGAUGUGGGGAUAGUAAUGGUCCCCAUCUCAGUGCAUUGCGGGAGGAGCAGAAACAAGGUGGUGAAGCUUUUGACCAGGUGCUGGGAAUGGAGCCCCUGGGACCUGCGUGGUUUGUCCUGCUCUCAUGAGAGCACGGUGUUUUGAUUCCCAAGGGACUCAGGGAGCGCAACCGAAUAGGGGUCCCUUCCUCCCCUCUCAGUCUCAAAACUAGGGCCAGGGACUGGCCGGAUCCCCAGAAGAAUCUAGUUUAUCCAGCAAGUAACUGCCCACUUGUCAGACAGCUUUGGUGCUUUGGGAGGUCCCUGCAGUCAGCUUCUCAAGCCCCAGGGCCUCCUGGGCCACUGACCCCUCUGCAGUGAGACAGGGACCAACGGCUUU
rnacentral:lncRNA from 1 species